rnacentral:rRNA from 1 species
GACGAAGGGGGCUAGCGUUGUUCGGAAUUACUGGGCGUAAAGCGCGUGUAGGCGGUUAUCCAAGUCGGGUGUGAAAGCCUUGAGCUCAACUCAAGAAAUGCAUUCGGUACUGGGUGACUAGAGGACCGGAGAGGAUAGUGGAAUUCCCAGUGUAGUGGUGAAAUACGUAGAGAUUGGGAAGAACACCAGUGGCGAAGGCGGCUAUCAGGACGGUUUCUGACGCUAAGACGCGAAAGCGUGGGGAGCAAACAGG